ensembl:lncRNA LINC01229 long intergenic non-protein coding RNA 1229
GGGCUUGGAGUAAUGGAGAACUCCAAGGGCAGGAGGUAACCAUUAAAGAGGACCAUCAUGUAGUGUGAGGAGUCAACAUUUCACACUAGAAAGCCCUUGGUUCAAGUUUUGUCUCUGCCACCUACAGAUUUUGUAACCCUGAGGAAACUAGCUACCUCUUUAUGUACUGCCCUAUGGAGAGGCACACAUGUCAAGAAACUGAGGGAGUGCCUUCCAGUCAACAGCCAGCCAGGAACUAAGGUGCUCAGUACAGCAGCCUCCACAAAGGACUGAACAAUGCCAACAGCUAUUUGACUGUGCUUGGAAGAUCUCCGUUUAGUUAACCCUUCAGAUGAGACCGCAGCCCUGGCCAGCAAACAAAUUGCAGCCUAUGGAAAGACCUUAAGGCAGAAGCACCCAACUGAACCACCCGAGGGCUCUGACUUACAGAAACUGUGAGCAUAUAGUGAAAUGGCCUCUACCUUAUUUUGAAUGGAUUUCUGGGAUAAAGUUCUUCAGUGAUAACAUGUUUGAAGUUUCAGGAAAGAGGCACUGGCCUUUACUUCUCCACCUCGAUUCACUUCCAUGCUGUUGACAAAUGUUAUAGUUGCCCAGGAUCAGAGGGAGAGACUGACCCUGUGACCAUUUCCCCAAAGGCGGCCUUUGGCCACUCCGUGCACUGGAGCACAUGACCCUCUGCCUCGCCCCUGCCACAUUAACCAGGCGGCUAUCUUAUGUGCCCAUGUUACAUGCUCAUGAUAAAGCUGCAUUUCCUGAGGGGACACCAAUGGAUACACCUCUGCCUGGCACGCAGCUUAGAGGCUAAAUGUAUGAAAAGCAACACCAUGCAAAUCAUUUUGAAACUGCUGUGGAACUCUCACGGGACCCUCCAUUCUAGACAUCCAGUCCCACUAGUGAUCUGACCAUGAAACCUACUAAGAGACUUCCAGAAGAAGAUGACCUCUGAAAGGAGAAAACUUUCUUCCAAGCUUCUGUGGAACAAGAAGAUGCCAUCCCUUUGGUGGAGCCCAAAGGGAAACCAGUGAUGCUGCCUGGAGUUAAAGGAGGCCAGGAGCACCAGAAGCUGGAGGAGGCCGGGGUGGAUUCUCGCCUGGAGGCUUCAGUGGGAGCACGAGCUCCCGACACUUCGGUUCCAUCUCUUGUUUAAAGGCACCCAGUUUCUCAUCAUUUGUUACAGCACCAUGGAAAACCCACACACAAGUGAAGCCCCGACCCACCUCCCAAGUGCCCAUCUGAGCACCCCUCGUGGACUCUGAGCAGGGGGUUGCCAUCACCAACUCCAAGUCUUGCAGCCCCUCUUCCCUUCAGUCUGGCUGCCACCUUCUUCAUUGCCCUGGAAAAAAAUAAUGAAGUUUCACCAUUUAAAGGGUUUCAGUGCAGCUUGCUAUGGGAACACUGGAGAGUAACACAAAUGGCCAAUUGUCCUAAUAGCCACCAUGGAUUGGAUGGAUGCUAACAACAGGCUCACAGUUCUCCUUCUGUUGCCUCCUUUUAUCCACAUGAGAAUCAAACAAGACUACUGAUUAAAUGAAGCCUUUGAUGAAGUGCAUGCAGUUUGUAGCUUGAUUCAUGGGAAUACUCAUCACAGACUGAAAGUGUAACCCAGGGUCUCUGGGUUUUUGGGAACGCGCUGUGUAAAAGUAUCUACUUGUAACUGUUACUCCCUGAGUUGUUGUUGUUUUAGAAAGUUCCAAGAAGAAGCUUAGCCUUGGAAAAAACAAAAACUGGUUGAAUCCAGAAGUGGAGAUGAAUUUUGGCCAACGCUCCUCACUGCCACACUAAAAACCCUGCUCAGAGAGGAGCUUAUUCACCAUGUUCUAUUCAUGCAAUGUGUGUGGAAACAUGAUCUACGACAGCAUGCGUGCUGCCUUCACCCUACCUCUACAUACAAUGACUCAUUUAACCUGCUGAAUAAAAGCCCUGUUUUCACCUUUGCUGGGGGAGGUGCCGCUUUGGGAACUAUUCGCAGUGUCCUCUUCACUUUUUGCAAGUAAUAGAAUACCCUUGUUAAAUCCUA